UGAGCAAUCUGCCCUUCUCAUCGGAAUAAGCGUUGGAAACGACGUCUAAUGCCGAAUACGACCUCCUUUCGCAUGAUCGGAGGUGGAAAGCUCCGGCGGAGAAGGAUGAGCUCGCGGCCUAUCAGCUUGUUGGUGAGGUAAUAGCUCACCAAGGCGAUGACGGGUAGCCGGCCUGAGAGGGUGACCGGCCACACGUGGGACUGAGACACGGCCCAGACCUCUACGGGA
rnacentral:rRNA from 1 species